CCUCUGUGCACAUUUUGUGGCAAGUAGGAGUGACACAUCAUUCCUGGGAGGCCCCAUGGUUCCUGCCAAACCCAACCCCAGAAUUCUCCCUGAGGUGGUUUUACCAAACCCAUAACCCAGAGCUAUUGUGGUUUGGGGGUCAGCACCCACCAGUGCCAGGGCACUGCUGGGAGGCUGGGACCUGACCAAAGCCCAUGGUGUCUGUGGCCUGAGGACAGGGUGUCUUGGGGCCAUGAGGACAGGCUACCAAUGGCCGUUGGGUCAUAGGGCCUGAGCCCCAGUGUUUGUCCUUCCCUGGCUCCUUCUGGUUCAGUCCCAUCAGGGCUCUGGAUCCCAAGACGCAGCAUGCAAGGUUCCCUUCAGGAAUCCUGGUGGCUUGGCUUACUUUGUCAUGUUUCAUCUGAUAGCAAAAAUAUCAGAUCGGCUGCACAGAAAAAUGGCUCAAAGUACUUAAUGACCAGAAGAAAUCUAGGAGCAGCAAGAAGGUAAUGUGGAGAGGGGAGGACCUCCAUGACUGGUGUCUGCAGAGCCAGGGGUACAGUCACUCAGUGCAGUGACCUGGCACCACCUGCCUUUCAGAGGGUGGGUAGCAUACUGUCCUUACCUGGGGGACAGCAGGCCUGGUCAUCGGCUUUUCUCCCUGUCCCUGCAAGCAUCACAUUGCUGGAAGAGAAUCUCAUGCCAGAGCUUGGACCAUCCCUAGCUUGGGGGUUAGGGGUUGUCUCUUGGUGACCUAAAUGAAAAAAUAGGUCCAGAUCAGAGUUCCUGAUGCAGAGCACUCACCCACUCUUUGAAUCAUGGGAGGGGAGGCCUAGUCCUAGGUAAACCUAAACUCUUUGAGGAACCACAGAGCCCAAGGCUGGAAACCUCCAGAAUCCUCCAGCCCCCGAUCCUCCCCGGGGACCUCUGUGGCCUGUCUCAACAGAGCACUCUUCUAUCUGUAGAUGUCUCAGCUGCUCUACAAGGGAGUCCCAUUUCAGGUGUGGGGCUGGGUAUGGUCACUCCUGCUGGAUGUCUAGAAGGUGAAAACCAAGGACCUAGGAAAAUACCAGAUACAGCCUUUCCACCAUCAUCCAGAGCAGGACAAACAUGCCAGGUGGUGUCAGGAGCCCAGGUCUCCAGCCGGAGGGAAUGUCAACCCUGCAGUGGGAGCCCAUAACGCAUCCUAGGCACAGAUGCUAAUGUAGGCACCGCAGACCAUAAAGGAAAACAGCAAGAAGUCCCCAGCAAACAUCCACAGAUGGCCCUGGACAUCAGCCACAUUCGGAGAAACAUGUCAUGUUCUGGGAGGGCUAAGGCAUCGAGAAUCCCAGUGAAUAUAUUACCACCAUCUUGGAGCUCAGUGCCCUCAUAGUGUAACAGCACCAGCAGAUCUGCCUGUGCACAGACUUCCUGUACUACCUCACUCCUGAGGGGAGAUGCUUCUGCAGGGCCUGCGACCUGGUGCACAACUUUAGACACCAUCAUCCUGGAGCGGCACUGCACCCUCACUAGCCAGGGUGUUGAUGACUUCCUCAAUGCCAAGGCCACAUUCAAGAUUUUUGACUUCAGUGAUGUGUUUGUGCUGAGCAAGGUGGGCUUCUCCGGGAUCUUAAUUCAGGAGGUAGAAUGCAGCUUGAGAUCUAGUGUCUGAUCAAAGAACUUGAACUUGACCUGGAGGGCUCUGGGGAGCCAUGGAAGGUGCUGGAUAAAGGAGGGACAGUCAUAUAUGUUUUAGAGAUGACUGUGGAAGGCUGCCUGGAAGGAGUGAACAAGAGCCAGGAGACCAGGGAGGGAGUUUGUGGGGCAGGUCUGGAGAUGGCAAGGGAGGGAUCCUGCUUGGAUGAAAAGUCUUCAGGGACUGUCUCAGGUUACACUCAGGUGACCUCAGAGCUACUGUGUUCAGGGUUCUUGUCUACAGGAUGAAAAUAAGGAGGAGUUGUCAGACAAGGACAUAUACAUGGUGGCUGGCAUCUUCAUGAGAGCCAAUCGUGGUCCUGGUGUGGACUACUGUGGGAACAGGGGUCUCCAUCCAGGGACGUGGUGGAUGGACCCUACAUCACUCCAUUCUGCCCUUCCUUUCCCUCCCAUUCUCCUGAGGGACUCAGUGCAUGGGCACUGACCAACCUCUGGUGCUGAAGCAGCCAAGAGACCCAAGCCUGCCUGGCUGCCACUUAGGAUAUGACAGCAGAGCCAGUGGCCUCUACUGGAUCCUGGUACCCCUCAGAAGACACCCAGACACUGGGAGUGCUGCCAACUUGUGGUGCAAGAGUUCUGAGGGAUGGCAAUUCUGAAGACAUUGAAUGGUGGGUGCCGGGCCUCAUGGCUGUUCCCCAGCCCCUCUCAUUGGCUCUGCUCCAGGUGGAGAAGGGGGAUGAUGUAUCUGUCAGUUCUGCCAUUUUAGCCUAGCAGGAAAAGAAGCAGAGCCCAGAAGCAGGGCCUGGUACCCAGCCUGCCUAACAAGGGAGAAUUUGUAGGCUUUGUGGACGGAAAGAUCUGGGACUCCAUGUCACCCACUAACUUGCUGAGACAUUAGUAAAAUCAGGUUUCUUUUCUGAA